UAUUUUCUUUUUUUCCUCUUAUUCUUCUCUUCCUCUCCUAUUUUUCUUCUUCUUCUUCUUCUUCUUCUUCUUCUUCUUCUUCUUUCUUCUUCCUUCCCUUCCUUUCCUUCUUCUUCUUUUCCUUCUUCUUCUUAUUAUUUUCUUCUCCUUUCUCCUCCUUCUUCUUCUUCUCCUUUCUCCUCCUUCUUCUUCUCCUUUCUCCUUCUUCUUCUUCUCCUU
rnacentral:lncRNA from 1 species